UCGGAACAUGUCCUGUAGUGGGGGAUAGCCCGGCGAAAGCCGGAUUAAUACCGCAUACGAUCYAYGGAUGAAAGCGGGGGACCUUCGGGCCUCGCGCUAUAGGGUUGGCCGAUGGCUGAUUAGCUAGUUGGUGGGGUAAAGGCCUACCAAGGCGACGAUCAGUAGCUGGUCUGAGAGGACGACCAGCCACACUGGGACUGAGACACGGCCCAGACUCCUACGGGAGGCAGCAGUGGGGAAUUUUGGACAAUGGGCGAAAGCCUGAUCCAGCAAUGCCGCGUGUGUGAAGAAGGCCUUCGG
rnacentral:rRNA from 1 species